rnacentral:rRNA from 1 species
GACGAACGCUGGCGGCGUGCUUAACACAUGCAAGUCGAACGAAGUGGCGAACGGGUGAGUAACGCGUAAUCAACCUGCCCUUCAGAGGGGGACAACAGUUGGAAACGACUGCUAAUACCGCAUACUGAAGGAGGGGUUUGCGGCUGAUUAGCUGGGUGGGGGGGUAACGGCCCACCAAGGCGAUGAUCAGUAGCCGGUCUGGGAGGGUGAACGGCCACAAUGGGACUUGGACACGGGCCAGACUCCUACGGGAGGGAGCAGUGGGGAAUCUUUCGGAAUGGACGAAAGUCCGACGAAGCAACGCCGCGGGGGUGAUGAAGGCCUUCGGGUUGUAAAGCUCUGUUAAUCGGGACGCGGUACCGGAAUAGAAAGCCACGGCUAACUACGUGCCAGCAGCCGCGGUAAUUC